rnacentral:rRNA from 1 species
UACAGAGGUCCCGAGCGUUGUUCGGAUUCAUUGGGCGUAAAGGGUGCGUAGGUGGCGCUGUAAGUGGGGUGUGAAAUCCCGGGGCUUAACUCCGGAACUGCAUUCCAUACUGCGGUGCUUGAGGACUGGAGAGGAGACUGGAAUUUACGGUGUAGCAGUGAAAUGCGUAGAGAUCGUAAGGAAGACCAGUGGCGAAGGCGGGUCUCUGGACAGUUCCUGACACUGAGGCACGAAGGCCAGGAGAGCAAACGGG